UUGCCAGACUCAGGUAGGCAGUGUGUUGUUAGCUGGCUGCGUUGGGUUAAGUAAGCAGCCACAGCUACCCUGCCACUUGCUUCUGGACGG
rnacentral:pre_miRNA from 1 species